GACGAACGCUGGCGGCGUGCCUAAUACAUGCAAGUAGAACGCUGAAGGAGGAGCUUGCUUCUCUGGAUGAGUUGCGAACGGGUGAGUAACGCGUAGGUAACCUGCCUGGUAGCGGGGGAUAACUAUUGGAAACGAUAGCUAAUACCGCAUAAGAGUAGAUGUCGCAUGACAUUUGCUUAAAAGGUGCAAUUGCAUCACUACCAGAUGGACCUGCGUUGUAUUAGCUAGUUGGUGAGGUAACGGCUCACCAAGGCAACGAUACAUAGCCGACCUGAGAGGGGGAUCGGCCACACUGGGACUGAGACACGGCCCAGACUCCUACGGGAGGCAGCAGUAGGGAAUCUUCGGCAAUGGACGGAAGUCUGACCGAGCAACGCCGCGUGAGUGAAGAAGGUUUUCGGAUCGUAAAGCUCUGUUGUAAGAGAAGAACGAGUGUGAGAGUAGAAAGUUCACACUGUGACGGUAUCUUACCAGAAAGGGACGGCUAACUACGUG
rnacentral:rRNA from 1 species